rnacentral:rRNA from 1 species
GACGAACGCUGGCGGCGUGCUUAACACAUGCAAGUCGAACGGAAAGGCCCCUUUGGGGGUACUCGAGUGGCGAACGGGUGAGUAACACGUGAGUAACCUUCCCUUGACUUCGGGAUAACUUCAGGAAACUGGGGCUAAUACCGGAUAGGAAUCCUUGCUGCAUGGUGGGGGUUGGAAAGCUUCGGCGGUUUUGGAUGGACUCGCGGCGUAUCUGCUUGUUUGUGGGGUAGUGGCUUACCAAGGCUUUGACGGGUAGCCGGCCUGAGAGGGCGACCGGCCACAUUGGGACUGAGAUACGGCCCAGACUCCUACGGGAGGCAGCAGUGGGGAAUAUUGCACAAUGGGCGGAAGCCUGAUGCAGCAACGCCGCGGGCGGGAUGACGGCCUUCGGGUUGUAAACCGCUUUCAGCAGGGGCGAAGCUUGUGGUGACGGUACCUGCAGAAGAAGCACCGGCUAACUACGUG